rnacentral:tRNA from 1 species
GGGCUUAUAGUUAAACGGUAUAACGGUAGCUUUGCAAGCUUCAAUUCGGAGUUCGAUUCUCCGUUGGUCCACCA